rnacentral:rRNA from 1 species
UACGGAGGGUGCAAGCGUUAUCCGGAUUCACUGGGUUUAAAGGGUGCGUAGGUGGAGUGGUAAGUCAGUGGUGAAAUCUCCAAGCUUAACUUGGAAACUGCCGUUGAUACUAUCAUUCUUGAAUAUCGUGGAGGUAAGCGGAAUAUGUCAUGUAGCGGUGAAAUGCUUAGAUAUGACAUAGAACACCGAUUGCGAAGGCAGCUUGCUACACGAUCAUUGACACUGAGGCACGAAAAGCGUGGGGGAUCAAACAGG